rnacentral:rRNA from 1 species
AUUACUGGCUUAGCCCCUGACCUUAUUGAGGGGGGUGUUGCCGUAUUGCAAUACGCAGAUGACACAGUGUUAUGUUUUGAACAUGACACCUCUGCUGCAAUAAACCUCAAACUACUCCUUUAUAUGUUUGAACUUAUGCCAGGUCUGAAAAUUAACUAUCUCAAAAGUGAAAUCAUGUGUGUGGGGGGUGACAACAGUAUCCUUUCUUACUAUGCGGAUCUUUUUAAUUGCCAAAUUGGUCACUUUCCUAUGCGCUACUUAGGAGUGCCAGUUAGUUUCUCCUCUCUUAGAUGCCUUGAGUGGAUCUUUGUUGAUGAGAAAUUUGGCAAAUGUUGUGAAGCCUGGAUAGGCAAUGCUGCUUCAUCAGGUGGCUGGCUUACGCUGCUAAAUUCCUCCUUGUCUAGUAUAGUCUUUUACUAUAUGGAUAUGUUCCUUCUCCCUAAAACCUUCAUUGAAAAACUGGACAAGAGGAGACGUCGUUUUUUCUGGCAAAGUUGGGAGGGACGAAAAAGAUAUCACUUGGUCCGUUGGAGCAGAGUGUGCCGCUCCAAAGACAAGGGCAAUUUGGGUGUGAAGGACUUACGUAAACAAAAUAUCAGCCUCCUAGGUGGUGGUGGAAACUGGAUACUCAAAAUGGGCUUUGGCAAGAUAUCGUUAAGGCCAAAUACUUGA